UCUACAGGUUGUCUAUGAAAUAAGCCAUU
rnacentral:piRNA from 1 species